ACGAACGCUGGCGGCGUGCUUAACACAUGCCAGUCGAACGGAAAGGCCCUGCUUGCCGGGUACUCGAGUGGCGAACGGGUGAGUAACACGUGGGUGAUCUGCCCUGCACUUCGGGAUAAGCCUGGGAAACUGGGUCUAAUACCGGAUAGGAGCCAUUUUUAGUGUGAUGGUUGGAAAGUUUUUUCGGUGUAGGAUGAGCUCGCGGCCUAUCAGCUUGUUGGUGGGGUAAUGGCCUACCAAGGCGGCGACGGGUAGCCGGCCUGAGAGGGUGGACGGCCACAUUGGGACUGAGAUACGGCCCAGACUCCUACGGGAGGCAGCAGUGGGGAAUAUUGCACAAUGGGCGCAAGCCUGAUGCAGCGACGCCGCGUGGGGGAUGACGGCCUUCGGGUUGUAAACUCCUUUCGCUAGGGACGAAGCUUUUUGUGACGGUACCUAGAUAAGAAGCACCGGCUAACUACGUG
rnacentral:rRNA from 1 species